rnacentral:rRNA from 1 species
AUUGAACGCUGGCGGCAUGCCUUACACAUGCAAGUCGAACGGCAGCACGGGAGCAAUCCUGGUGGCGAGUGGCGAACGGGUGAGUAAUACAUCGGAACGUGCCCAGUAGUGGGGGAUAACCCGGCGAAAGCCGGACUAAUACCGCAUACGACCUACGGGUGAAAGCAGGGGAUCGCAAGACCUUGCGCUAUCGGAGCGGCCGAUGUCAGAUUAGCUAGUUGGUGGGGUAAAAGCCCACCAAGGCGACGAUCUGUAGCUGGUCUGAGAGGACGACCAGCCACACUGGGACUGAGACACGGCCCAGACUCCUACGGGAGGCAGCAGUGGGGAAUUUUGGACAAUGGGCGCAAGCCUGAUCCAGCCAUGCCGCGUGCGGGAAGAAGGCC